UACGAAGGGUGCUAGCGUUAUUCGGAUUUAUUGGGCGUAAAGGGUGCGCAGGCGGUAUGUUAAGUCAACUGUUAAAUAUCCCAGCCUAACUGGGAACCAGCAGUAGAUACUGAUGUGCUAGAGGAUGGAAGAGAGAAGUGGAAUUCUCGGAGUAGCGGUAAAAUGCGUAGAUCUCGAGAGGAACACCAAUGGCGAAGGCAGCUUCUUGGUCCAUACCUGACGCUCAUGCACGAAAGCGUGGGGAGCAAAC
rnacentral:rRNA from 1 species